rnacentral:lncRNA from 1 species
AGAGUGCCUGAAGGAUCAAUGUCGUACCCACACCUCUGACUUCUCACGUUUACAGUUGGUAGCAAGAAGGAACAGCAGCUGCCUUCAUUUGUAGCAGCCCUUCUCUGCAAGAUGAACAGCGGUCUUUUUAUUCUGCCACACUGAUUGAUUUCCUAAAGGUCUUUUGGUGACAGUGCCUCCUGGAAGUACAGAAAAACCCCAAUAAUUGAUAUGGGAUUAUAUAAAUAAAAAUAAGAGAUUUUCACACCUGAAAAA